AGGAGCGGUGAUCAUGGAGAUUGAGAUAUGCUGAUCUGCAGGAGCUGUAAUAUGGUUAACACAAACAAGCUUUACUGAUGCAUAUAAGAAGAAGAAACCCUCGAUUCAUAUUCUGAGCUAAAAUGUUUAAGAUCAAAGGGGGUUUUUGUUAUGGCUGCAAUAAAAUGGGAAAUCAAACAAUGCUGUAUCCAAAGGGCAUAAAUGUUUUGCAAAUAGGGAAUACAGAGGAGAGAAGGGUGGGAAUUUCAAGAAGUCGGGGAAGAAAU